ACACCUCAACUCUCACGGUUUGCCGUGAUGAGCUUGGACUUUGGGGGUAUUGCUGGCCUUAUGGUCAGCUCCUCUCAAAUGGAUCAGCUUGCCAGUGUUUGGUGGCAUCGCAGGUGUGAUAACUAUCUACGCUUGUGGUCUCCCACCAGGUAACCCUCAGCAAUGGGGGUUCGCUGGAGCUCAUAAAUGUCUCUCCUCAGUGAGGACAGCUUUUGAAC
rnacentral:misc_RNA from 1 species